rnacentral:rRNA from 6 species
AGAGUUUGAUCAUGGCUCAGAUUGAACGCUGGCGGCAGGCCUAACACAUGCAAGUCGAGCGGUAGCACAGAGAGCUUGCUCUCGGGUGACGAGCGGCGGACGGGUGAGUAAUGUCUGGGAAACUGCCUGAUGGAGGGGGAUAACUACUGGAAACGGUAGCUAAUACCGCAUAACGUCGCAAGACCAAAGUGGGGGACCUUCGGGCCUCAUGCCAUCAGAUGUGCCCAGAUGGGAUUAGCUAGUAGGUGGGGUAACGGCUCACCUAGGCGACGAUCCCUAGCUGGUCUGAGAGGAUGACCAGCCACACUGGAACUGAGACACGGUCCAGACUCCUACGGGAGGCAGCAGUGGGGAAUAUUGCACAAUGGGCGCAAGCCUGAUGCAGCCAUGCCGCGUGUGUGAAGAAGGCCUUCGGGUUGUAAAGCACUUUCAGCGGGGAGGAAGGCGUUAAGGUUAAUAACCUUGGCGAUUGACGUUACCCGCAGAAGAAGCACCGGCUAACUCCGUGCCAGCAGCCGCGGUAAUACGGAGGGUGCAAGCGUUAAUCGGAAUUACUGGGCGUAAAGCGCACGCAGGCGGUCUGUCAAGUCGGAUGUGAAAUCCCCGGGCUCAACCUGGGAACUGCAUUCGAAACUGGCAGGCUAGAGUCUUGUAGAGGGGGGUAGAAUUCCAGGUGUAGCGGUGAAAUGCGUAGAGAUCUGGAGGAAUACCGGUGGCGAAGGCGGCCCCCUGGACAAAGACUGACGCUCAGGUGCGAAAGCGUGGGGAGCAAACAGGAUUAGAUACCCUGGUAGUCCACGCCGUAAACGAUGUCGAUUUGGAGGUUGUGCCCUUGAGGCGUGGCUUCCGGAGCUAACGCGUUAAAUCGACCGCCUGGGGAGUACGGCCGCAAGGUUAAAACUCAAAUGAAUUGACGGGGGCCCGCACAAGCGGUGGAGCAUGUGGUUUAAUUCGAUGCAACGCGAAGAACCUUACCUGGUCUUGACAUCCACAGAACUUUCCAGAGAUGGAUUGGUGCCUUCGGGAACUGUGAGACAGGUGCUGCAUGGCUGUCGUCAGCUCGUGUUGUGAAAUGUUGGGUUAAGUCCCGCAACGAGCGCAACCCUUAUCCUUUGUUGCCAGCGGUUCGGCCGGGAACUCAAAGGAGACUGCCAGUGAUAAACUGGAGGAAGGUGGGGAUGACGUCAAGUCAUCAUGGCCCUUACGACCAGGGCUACACACGUGCUACAAUGGCAUAUACAAAGAGAAGCGACCUCGCGAGAGCAAGCGGACCUCAUAAAGUAUGUCGUAGUCCGGAUUGGAGUCUGCAACUCGACUCCAUGAAGUCGGAAUCGCUAGUAAUCGUAGAUCAGAAUGCUACGGUGAAUACGUUCCCGGGCCUUGUACACACCGCCCGUCACACCAUGGGAGUGGGUUGCAAAAGAAGUAGGUAGCUUAACCUUCGGGAGGGCGCUUACCACUUUGUGAUUCAUGACUGGGGUGAAGUCGUAACAAGGUAACCGUAGGGGAACCUGCGGUUG